rnacentral:rRNA from 1 species
UUGAACGCUGGCGGCAUGCCUUACACAUGCAAGUCGAACGGUAGAGGGGCAACCCUUGAGAGUGGCGAACGGGUGAGUAAUGCAUCGGAACGUGCCCAGUCGUGGGGGAUAACGCAGCGAAAGCUGUGCUAAUACCGCAUGUGAAUCUGUGGAUGAAAGCAGGGGACCGCAAGGCCUUGUGCGAUUGGAGCGGCCGAUGUCAGAUUAGCUAGUUGGUAGGGUAAAGCCUACCAAGGCGACGAUCUGUAGCUG